UACGGAGGAUCCGAGCGUUAUCCGGAUUUAUUGGGUUUAAAGGGUGCUCAGGCGGGCCAUUAAGUCGGCGGUGAAAUUUUGCGGCUCAACCGUAAAAGUGCCUUCGAUACUGGUGGUCUUGAGUGUGGAUGAGGUAGGCGGAAUUUGUGGUGUAGCGGUGAAAUACAUAGAUAUCACGAGGAACUCCGAUUGCUAAGGCAGCUUACUAAGCCAUAACUGACGCUCAAGCACGAAGGCGUGGGGAGUCAAACAGGAUUAGAUACCCCGUACGUCCU
rnacentral:rRNA from 1 species